ACCCAUAGGCUCGUGUUAGGUUGAUAGUACAGGAAAGAGGGGUUGUGUGGAUAUUUGGCAUUCAUGUCAAACCCACACGUAUAGCUCCUUGCUAUUGUUGCUUAACUUUUCCUAAUUUGUCUCCUAACAGUUCAGCGCUCGAGAGGCAAAGUCUCAAGGAACCCAUGAAUGUUAUACUUCUCCUCUAAUCUAAUUAGGGUUUUGAGUCGUUAAUAUUCGAGAAGAUCUUUUCCCUUUGGAGAAGGACUUUUUUGUGGUUGUUGCCAUUACUUACAUGGAUGAGACAGAAGCAGCCCCGUUGACGAGUCAAAUUUUUUAGAUAAAGUGAGAUGCAUGAUCUUGAAAUCUCUAUGUUAUAUCAUCUUUUUCGGGAGUAGAUGUAUCGUAGAUUGAGUUCGGUCAUCUUUGUUGUCAUUUCACCGCGGUAUAUUCCUAAACACUAUGAAGAUCCUAGUUGGUCUAUUAUCAUUUGGGUAAAACCAUACCGCUGACAUUU
rnacentral:snoRNA from 1 species